GAAACCCUAAUAAGGAUACGACAAAAAAAAAAACGAAAUCUGAUCUUCUUCUUCGAUGCGGCCGUGAUGCGGGACUCCUGCGAUUCUUCAUUCGAUCUGAAACGGUUUAUUAAUGGCUGCAACGUAAAUCGAAUUGAUCAUCCCUCCACGAUUUGUCUUCAAUGAUUUGUGAAAAGCGGUGUCUGUAAUUCUAUAAAAGUCUUGAAGUCUGGUCGAUGCUUAUCCACCGUUCAAGUGCGGUUGCUCCGGUUCCGGUAGGCCAGAAACGUCAGAAAGCUGUGGGGGAAAUGAUGGGCGUGGAUAUGCUCUCACUGGACUCAAAGUCUACUGCUUUACACGCUAACUUCUGCAGUGCCUAACUGAGUAAGAGAACAGAACCUUCACUUUCCAACUGAAGCUCACUGAGUUCAACAUCACUUCGAAGCAUCAGUCAUUCACCAUCUCCCGCAUAUUUGAAAAGCAUCAGCGUCCACCACUACCAAGCUUCGCUGAACAAGAAGUAACAAUCAACCUGGUGAAGUCAUGCCACGAGCUGGAGCAGUGUCAAGUAAGCCAUCCGGUGAGAUACCGGUGAAGCCUCUAAGAACGCUGGUGCGAGUGAUCUUCUUGGGAUUGUUGAAGGAGGUGAUGCUGAUCCACCUAUCCAAUCUGAUGAAGCUGUUUUUGUUGACUCCACCACUACCAACGAACCACCCACGGAUGAUGUGCGUGAAGGGAAAAGGCCACGCAUAGCUUAGCUUCCUAAGUUGAGCAUGAGUUGAUGUUUCAGUCGUCAUCCUUGCCUCUAUAUUUUCUCUGUUUUUUACCAGUUUUAAUAUUUUAGUACUCAAGAGUUUCUUCUCAGGUGAAACCUGUUUUAUGUUUUGUCUUAGAUCCUACGUAUUAUUUUUCCUUACCAACUUGGUCCUAAACUGGUUUUUAUCUUUAUAAAAAAAAACUCUUUUUAGAA